rnacentral:lncRNA from 1 species
AGGUGUUUGUCCUGAUUUACUUACCAUAUUUUAUUUCCCUAUCUCUUGGAGGAAAUGACAAUAUAUUUAUAAUAAUUGGGUUUUCCUUCUUGUAGAAGGAAAUUAUAAAUCUCACAUAUUUGGCUAGUCCCUUUUCUUGUAGGAAAAUAUUUGGACUUCUAUAAAUUGAGGAUCACUACUUCUCAUUUGAUAGCAUCCGCAAUGUAGUCAUAAGGGGAUUGAGAGUCUUGUUUAGGAGAACUUUUGGGACAAGUGUUAGUGUG